CAAGUACUCCCUCCGUCCGAAAAUACUUGUCAUCAAAAUGGAUAAAAAGAGUUGUAUCUAGAACUAAAAUACACCUAGAUACAUCCCCUUUUAUCCAUUUUGAUGACAAGUAUUUCCGGACGGAGGGAGUAUUUA
rnacentral:pre_miRNA from 1 species